AUGCUUUGCAAUAUGUUGCAAUUGAAUUAUCCUUUUAUGAACUUCAGGUUCAUAUUAUGAUAUUCGAGGAUCUAUAUAUACAAAUGAUAAUUCAUACCAUGUAACCUUUUCUCAAGUGUUUAUCAUGUCUCCCCCUCUUGUUAGGAAACUAACUUGUUUCCUCAACUCUGGGAAAUCAUCUUUAUGUAUUAUCAUGUUAAUAUACACAGCACAUUAAUAAUAAUAAGAUGAAAUUAUUUGGUUCCUG
rnacentral:lncRNA from 1 species